CACUCCUACGGGAGGCAGCAGUGGGGAAUUUUGGACAAUGGGCGAAAGCCUGAUCCAGCAAUGCCGCGUGUGUGAAGAAGGCCUUCGGGUUGUAAAGCACUUUUGUCCGGAAAGAAAUCCUUGGCUCUAAUACAGUCGGGGGAUGACGGUACCGGAAGAAUAAGCACCGGCUAACUACGUGCCAGCAGCCGCGGUAAUACGUAGGGUGCGAGCGUUAAUCGGAAUUACUGGGCGUAAAGCGUGCGCAGGCGGUUUGCUAAGACCGAUGUGAAAUCCCCGGGCUCAACCUGGGAACUGCAUUGGUGACUGGCAGGCUAGAGUAUGGCAGAGGGGGGUAGAAUUCCACGUGUAGCAGUGAAAUGCGUAGAGAUGUGGAGGAAUACCGAUGGCGAAGGCAGCCCCCUGGGCCAAUACUGACGCUCAUGCACGAAAGCGUGGGGAGCAAGCAGGAUUAGAAACCCCUGUAGUCC
rnacentral:rRNA from 1 species